AUGUCUUUUCCCGGGAUCUCACGUGUGCUAAACAGAUUCGUGGAGCAGGUGAGGACACAGAUUUUCUUCAGACACCCAGAGAAGAACCAAAGCAGAAAACCCAAUGCAAAAUCAACCAAACUCAGGAGCAAUCGGGGUGAGAAAACCACGUCUGUCAUAUUCCAACGGAGUCGCCUCGACAAAAACAGUCAGCGGUGGGAAAACAUUGGGAAAACCUUGGAGAGGAAGAAGACUUUCCUGCUCUUCCUCGCCAGGAGGCCGCGGCCACCGGGAGCCCCGGGCCACGGAGCAUCGCGCCCGGGGCGGGCACCAAGAGGGGACCCGGCAUCAGCGGAGCUCUGCGGGGCGGCUUUUGCGGGGCGUUGAAAUGAACUCGUUUCUGCGCCAGAACACUUUAAAUGGGAGGGUCGGGAGCGAGGGGGGCGGGGAGGGGGAUUAAAUAUUAGCAGAGAGGGAACGGGGGGUGUUAAAGCAUCUGGCCAGAUGUCAAACUGAAACCGUGAAUACUGUGAGUGCAGCCGAGGUAGAUGGAGGAAAAAACCCAUGUUACAGUAGGAAACGACCCUUGGAAAAUUUUAAAAAACCAACCGAACAACCAAAAAACUUAAAAAUGUAAAAGCGGUGGCGUGUUCUGCGUGGGGCCCCAAAUCUUCGCCAAACCCCCCCCGGGCGGGGGCGGGAGCAGCUCUGGCGGCCGGGGGGGGGGGGGGGGGGGGGGGGGGGGGGGGGGGGGGGGGGGGGGGGGGGGGGGGGGGGGGGGGGGGGGGGGGGGGGGG
rnacentral:lncRNA from 12 species